UGGAUCUGUGACAAACACUGGUGCCAUAUGAGUUGUGGAUUGUGACUACAGGUCUGGGAGUCUGAGGUCCAC